rnacentral:tRNA from 1 species
UCCCUGGUGGUCCAAUAGCUAAGACUCUGAACUCCCAAUGCAGGCCUGGGUUCCAUUCCUAGUUAGGGAA